CACGUAGGCACCAAGCGUUAUCCGGAUUUAUUGGGCGUAAAGAGCUCGUAGGCGGUUCGGUAAGUCGGGUGUGAAAUCUCGGGGCUCAACCCCGAAACUGCACUUGAUACUGCCUUGCUCGAGUACUGGAGAGGAGAUUGGAAUUUACGGUGUAGCAGUGAAAUGCGUAGAUAUCGUAAGGAAGACCAGUGGCGAAGGCGAAUCUCUGGACAGUUACUGACACUGAGGCACGAAGGCCAGGGGAGCAAACGGG
rnacentral:rRNA from 1 species